ensembl:lncRNA
AGCCCUAGUAUGGUACCUGGCCUGCAGCAAGGGCUCAAUGAGCAACAGUCACCCUGGUUACCAUUUGCUGAAUCAGGGCAGGGUCAGAGUGCAGGGGAAGGGUCCAAGGUUCACCAACCGUUAGUGGCCAAACCGGUCGGUGUGACCAGACCAAGCGCAACCUUCAAAAACGCUCUUCUUGCCGUCUUCAGCAAGACAAACAGGGAAAGGCUCCUGUGACUGCCAAAACUUUGCCUGUCAUAAAAACAUCCUCCAUGUCACAGUGACAACCACGAGAACAGAACGGGAGGCAGCAAGGUCUAGAGGAUGAGAUGCAGAACCGGGAAUCAGACCUGUUUCCCAACAAGACCGAGAACUACUUUUAAUUGAGAUGUACAAAGGAGGUGCAGGAGGACAAUAAUUUGUGACUCAAAAAUAACACGCAAGUCAAGAGUUGUGAAUGGAAUUUAGGCAGUGCCUUCAAAUCCUGCAGCCUUCAAUCACUUUAUAAGGAUAGCACAGGCCACCACUGGCUUGGAUAUUGUCACAUUACUCAUCUCUCAUCUGCCUAAUCCACUUUACCACCUACAGUCCAAACAACCAGGAGAGAGAAGUCCGUGUGGACUUUCCCUCAUCAAAAGUGAACCAGGAAACAGUUUCAAAGCAGAUCUCACGCUAACCUCCAAAAGAGUGGUGCCAACAGAUAAACAGAGGAAACACCAAACAAACAAGAAUGUGAAGUAAAAUCCUUCCUUGCAAAAAUGGCUACAUCUUUUUUCACAAACUUCAGGAGAAAAAGCUUCCAUCAAAUGAGCUCCAGCCUGACCACCUCUCUCCAGCACCGUGAACAGCAUGGAAGCCCAGAUCAAAGAACAUCUUAUAUGUGGCCUUUCCUUGUCCCACUAAAUGUCACUGAGGCAGAGCUAGUGGCACCCUAUACCCAGGCUUUCCUUACCAGAUCCUUGCAUCUCAGAAGCUCAGAUGCAAACGAGAUUCAGAAAACCAAAUGAACUGAGAAGAGGAAUAAAGGAGAAAGACUGGAUUAGACCAUGGCCAACAUCUUUGGGCAAAUGCACACAUCCUCCUGUUGCCAUUUUAGCAAGACCAUGGACCUCUCAGAACACUAAUUCCUCUCUGGAUCACUGCUUCCCAGAGCAAUAACAUAAAUCCAUCUAACAUUUAAGCAAAAGGAUAUUGAGCUUGGCAGAUCAGCACAGUGUAUGUUUGCCUCCUGGAGUGAUAAGGUCACCCAUUCAAGACCCCCUAGGAAAGGAGGGUGGAAGUGCAGAGAGCCACACAUGAAGCAGCCAGACCUAGUACAGAGGGUGCAGAUACCCUUUGAAGCAACAAAGAAUAACUGAGGAGAAGCAAGCCAGAGCCUUCGAGGAAACACAGGCUUGACGUGUCCAGCUGUCAUUAAGAAAUGCAAAAAGUUAACAGGUCACAACGCAUCCUGGUAUUGUAGGGACAUAAGUAGGGGCAUUCUUAGGUCUGGAACCCCCAAAGAAGCAGGUUUGCAGCCCUAAAACAUUGAUGUUCAACUGCUCAAAUCUGACCAGGUGAUUCUUGCAUGUUAGUUCACAGCCUUCUGAAUCUAACUGCACCCAACUUUUCACACAAAACACCCAUGUUUCCAUCAUUACAUAUAUCCUGGAAGCUGAUCAAAACCUCUCAAAGAAUACAUGAGGAAACAGACAUCUACUCACCUUGUUGACAGGAGCACAAAUUGGUCCCAUCUUUUUGGAGGGCAACUGAGCAAUAUUUAGCAAAAUGAACAUAAUAUUUCAUUUGGAAAUUUCACUUUUAGGGAUUUAUCCAAAAGACACACUCAUACAUGGGCAAAUUUAUGCUCACAAGUUUAUUUAUUGCAGUGUUUUUUGUAAUAGCCAAAGACCAAGAACAUUUGAAAUGUACAUCAAAAAGGAAUCUGGUUAAAAACGCCAGUGGAAUAUGAAAUAGCCAUUAAAAAGAAUGAGGCAAGUCUACAGGUGCUGUGAUGAGACAGAUGAUCUCCAAAAUGGAACGUUAAAUAAUAAAAAGAUCAAAGUCCAAGACAGUAUCAUAGCAUGCUUUACUUAUGUAAAAACAACCAAAAAUGGGAUAUAUGCAUGUUCAUAUAUACAUAUAUGUACAAAC